rnacentral:lncRNA from 1 species
AGAAGGCCAACCAUGAAGAAGUCUUAGCAGCUGGCAAACAAGCUGCACAGAAAUUGGAACAGUUUGUCUCCAUUCUUAUGGCCAGCAUUCCACUCCCUGACAAAGCCAGUUGACCUGCCUUGGAGUCGUCUGGCAUCUCCCACACAAGACCCAAGUAGCUGCUACCUUCUUUGGCCCCUUGCUGGAGUCAUGUGCCUCUGUCCUUAGGUUGUAGCAGAAAGGAAAAGAUUCCUGUCCUUCACCUUUCCCACUUUCUUCUACCAGACCCUUCUGGUGCCAGAUCCUCUUCUCAAAGCUGGGAUUACAGGUGUGAGCAUAGUGAGACCUUGGCGCUACAAAAUAAAGCUGUUCUCAUUCCUGUUCUUUCUUACACAAGAGCUGGAGCCCGUGCCCUACCACACAUCUGUGGAGAUGCCCAGGAUUUGACUCGGGCCUUAGAACUUUGCAUAGCAGCUGCUACUAGCUCUUUGAGAUAAUACAUUCCGAGGGGCUCAGUUCUGCCUUAUCUAAAUCACCAGAGACCAAACAAGGACUAAUCCAAUACCUCUUGGAUUUUAUUUAAUGUCAUAAUGUUGUCAGAAUAAAGAGAAAGAUGAAAU